UCUUGGGUUCUAUGCAUGCGCAUAAUAGCGACCUCCACAAAGCCGUUUGGGAAAUGUAAUCAGAGGGCAGAUCGUAACCAUGCCUGUCUGCGGGAACCUGCCCAGAGCAGGCCAGCUGCGGGAUCCAUGGAUGGUCUUCGCCUCUCCCUAAGAGUCAGUCUGCACCUCUGAAACUCUCUCUUCUGCUCGGUUUUCUCAAUAACUAAAAACCAUCUCCCAAAGGCUCAAUUGGGUUCCGCGCACGCGCAUAAUCGUUGUCACCGCGAGGCUACUUGGGAGAUGUAGUCAAAGGGACAGGUGAGCCGCGGACCUGCACUGCCACUGUUGGAGGAGGUAAUACCGAGCCGCUGAGGGCAGAAUCUAAGCUCCACCCAAGACCCGUGGGCAGUUAUGGAUUUCGGUUUCCAGAACGCGGGAGCACUCACCUGUCCCGGCCCUGACCACACCUCUGGAGUGAGGCUCCGGAAGAUAAGAUUCUGAAGAAGAAAAUCAUAUGAACUAGAAUGAUGGCCCAGUAGUUCAGAAUUCUUGCUUCAAUUCCAGUGGACUUGAGUUUAAUUUGCAACACCUUGUUGUGUGGCUCACAAUCAACUGUAACUACAGAUCCAUGUGAUUUUGUAUACUCUGUUUCCAUGGGCACCUGUACACAGUUGGGAACCAUGAGAGCCCUGAGAUAAAUAUCCUGCCCCAGCUAAUUG